AACCGCUUUUAGUCGGGAAGAAAAGGCGCGGCCUAAUACGUCGCGUUCUUGACGGUACCGGCGGAAUAAGCACCGGCUAACUACGUGCCAGCAGCCGCGGUAAUACGUAGGGUGCGAGCGUUAAUCGGAAUUACUGGGCGUAAAGCGUGCGCAGGCGGUUCGUUAAGUCUGAUGUGAAAGCCCCGGGCUCAACCUGGGAAUGGCAUUGGAAACUGGCGGGCUUGAGUGUGGCAGAGGGGGGUGGAAUUCCGCGUGUAGCAGUGAAAUGCGUAGAGAUGCGGAGGAACACCGAUGGCGAAGGCAGCCCCCUGGGCUAACACUGACGCUCAGGCACGAAAGCGUGGGGAGCAAACAGGAUUAGAUACCCUGGUAGUCCACGCCCUAAACGAUGAUCACUGGGUGUUCGGGGAGCGAUCUCUGAGUACCGAAGCUAACGCGUGAAGUGAUCCGCCUGGGGAGUACGGUCGCAAGAUUAAAACUCAAAGGAAUUGACGG
rnacentral:rRNA from 1 species